GAGUUUGAUUAUGGCUCAGAGUGAACGCUGGCGGCGUGCUUAACACAUGCAAGUCGAACGAGAACGGAUUAUAGCUUGCUAUAAUUGUCAGCUAAGUGGCGCACGGGUGAGUAAUGUAUAGAUAACCUGCCCUUAAGAAAGGAAUAACAGUUGGAAACGACUGCUAAUGCCCUAUAUGCCUUUAAUACAUAAGUAUGCAAGGGAAACGCUUUAGUGCUUAAGGAUGGGUCUGUAUGGUAUCAGCUUGUUGGUGAGGUAAUGGCUCACCAAGGCUAUGACGCCUAACUGGUUUGAGAGGAUGAUCAGUCACACUGGAACUGAGACACGGUCCAGACUCCUACGGGAGGCAGCAGUGGGGAAUAUUGCACAAUGGACGAAAGUCUGAUGCAGCAACGCCGCGUGGAGGAUGACACAUUUCGGUGCGUAAACUCCUUUUAUAUAGGAAGAUAAUGACGGUACUAUAUGAAUAAGCACCGGCUAACUCCGUGCCAGCAGCCGCGGUAAUACGGAGGGUGCAAGCGUUACUCGGAAUCACUGGGCGUAAAGAGCGUGUAGGUGGGUAUAUAAGUCAGAAGUGAAAUCCAAUAGCUCAACUAUUGAACUGCUUUUGAAACUGUAUACCUAGAAUGUGGGAGAGGUAGAUGGAAUUUCUGGUGUAGGGGUAAAAUCCGUAGAGAUCAGAAGGAAUACCGAUUGCGAAGGCGAUCUACUGGAACAUUAUUGACGCUGAGACGCGAAAGCGUGGGGAGCAAACAGGAUUAGAUACCCUGGUAGUCCACGCCCUAAACGAUGUACACUAGUUGUUGUGAGGCUCGACCUUGCAGUAAUGCAGUUAACACAUUAAGUGUACCGCCUGGGGAGUACGGUCGCAAGAUUAAAACUCAAAGGAAUAGACGGGGACCCGCACAAGCGGUGGAGCAUGUGGGUUUAAUUUCGACGAUACACGAAGAACCCUUACCUGGGACUUGACAUAGUAAGAAACUUUUCUAGAGAUAGAUUGGGUGUCUGGCUUGCAGAAACUUAAUAAUACAGUUGCCUGCACGACCUGGUCGGUCAGGCUUCGUGUCGUGGAGAUGCUGAGUUAGGUCCCGUCAACCGGAGGCUCGAU
rnacentral:rRNA from 1 species